CAAGGAGAGCAUAAGUAUAUGUGCCUAUUAUUUGGAGAAAAACAAAUUUAAUAUGUCUACGUGCAACGGUGGAGAAUUUUCAUUUAUGGACUUGUGGUCUUAUCUUUCAGGUUUGUGUUGUUCAGCUUGCCGGACAGGAAUUGUUGUAUGCUGUUUGUGUUUUCGUGAUAUAAAUUAAGUUUUCGAAUGUACUAUUUUAUGAUUUGGUUUGAUUGUUUGUAAUUUUUUGGUGUUCUCUA